AGUGCGUGAGUGUGGGGGUGGGAGUGGGAGUGAGGGAGUAACGAAAAUAGCACACAUACAUACAUAGAUACAAAAAUAACUGAAAACAGGACAGCCCGCCCAAUUUUCAAAUUAUCUUUCACACAAUGCGCCGCUUAUCUACUGCAGCCAUUCCAUCCCUCUCUGGCGCCUCUACACCUGUUUGCAGUUAUUUAACCAAUUUCUUCGUCUUUCUCCUGUUUCUUUUCUCUGUUUUUUGUUUUCUAUUUUCAUUGAUUUGCUAUUGAGAGUCAAUGCCGCAACAGAAACCGGUUACUUCCACUACGAUCUCAAGAGAGCCUCUCUCCCAAAUCAACUUGUACUUUUAAAAUGUAUUACUUCAAACUAAAAUAAUUUACUCUCUCUCUCUCUCUCUGAGCUAUCUUCUUGCCGGUGCAACAAGAACAAGUCACUAAGUGGGUCACAAGAACAUAUGUAUGUACACAUCCCCCCCAAAGUGCCACUCCGCCUUUCCACCUUCCCCUUUGUCCCGUUACUAGUUUUCUCCUCCUCUGGACCUGCUUCUGGAAACUGUACGUGCGACUUUGAAGGUUGUCGCUGACUGGCCAAGUUUUAAUUCCAAUAAGCUGCACUUUAUUGUCGGCAUUAAAAUGAAGAAGAACCUGAACCGAGCCAAGAAUGGAAAAAAAAUAAAGUGUUGCAGUGAUUGCGAAAAGAGCACGCAGGGCAUGUUGACCAAAAAAGUAUGCUCUGCGGUUUUACGCUUCUGGACUACGGUAAUCUUGUUAAGAACCUUCAUGGCAUACAACUUUCCGGCAUCGUGGCGAGUCAGCUUCCGAACCAGAAACACUCUUCCAUAGGCUGUGGAAAGGAUUUAAUUAAAAAGUUAUCCUAUUUUAAAGGACUAUCUGUGAUGGAAACUCACCUCCUGUGCCCAGAACUCGAAUUAUUUUAAAGUCAUUGAGACUAACGGCCUCAUCACUGUACAAUUUGACUAAAAAAUAAAGAAAAAAAAUGUAAAUUAGUAGGGCUACUUAUCGACGAAACUAAUCAAUUAAAGGAGAAAAUAAUAAACGGUAAUGAAUGCGAGUA